AGCCUAACUUUACGUGUAACAGAGUCACCUAUGACUAGCGUUUCUACCCCCGAAAAAGACUUGCGAGGCAGGGUACUGACCGCAACCUGCCUCGCAAGUGGUGCUGCCGACAGGAUUACCUUGACGGAGUCACUGCUAACGAUAGCGUUAGCUCCACGAGUCCGCCUGGCGGGUCUCUUCUCUAUACUUUCUGGAAUAUCUGUUUUCUCUACGCUCGCUACCCUUUCAUCCUCUAACUGAGAGAUACGUCUCUUUAACAGAGCUAUCUUAUCCAUGAGAAAGGCAGAGCAAGAACAAUCCCAAUCCAUGCUUACCGUGGUUGAUGCAGACGGAGCUCCAGGGAGGAAGCAGCGAAUACAAUACAGAGUAUGCAGAACAGGUCACAGAUAUAAAUACCGAAAAGUAGAUACAAACCGAUACAAACCGAGAUAGCAGGUCGACGCUAAGCGUCCUGCUAACCAAACCAAACAAAGCAAACCAAGCCGGCUACCCCGGAAGUUGCGUCUGCGGCGUCACACGGCAGCCUCGGGUCAGCCUCUGGAGAGAGAGCACAGGUUACACAGCACGAGAACUCAUUCCUGGAACUUCAACUCAGUUGAAGUUCCAGUUUAACAAAAUAACGUUAUAAGUCUUUACCGCCUAGUUUAGGUCAACGAAAAUGAAGAGACAUUUUAGCAGUCUUAUUUUCGUAGAACACAUUUUAGUCUUGUUUUAUUCGCCAACUAUAUUGCACUAUGUAUUUAAUCAGUUUUUCUCACGUGAUAAAGGUUUGUUGAUGACGACGCUUAGUCAUAAUUUUCGUUGCCAAAAGCAACACUAUUUGCAACUACUGGCGGUGGUGGUUAUCAGGUACUAAAUUCAUAAAGCAAAAUUCGGUUUCAUAUCUCAGGUUAACCUGCAGCAACCCCGGCGAGUGUGACCACGUCGGUGGAUCAUAGAAAACACUCUUGAGUUCGCUGUCACGUCAGUGGCGUAACAUAGGAAAAAUAAAACUUGAGGGUGAGUGCCACUCACCGGCACUCACCCGGUGAGUGCCGGUGACCACGUCGGUGGCACAUCAAGGGCACUCGUGAGCAUGACCACGUCGGUGGCACGUUAUCUAAUACUCAUGGUUUGACUGCAGUAACCCCGGUGAGUGCGUUGCCCACGUCGGUGGGAACAACUCGAGCACUCGUGAGUUUGUUGCGCACGUCGGUGCGGUACAACACAGAACUCCACGUUCGCUGCAGUAACCCCGGUGAGUGCGUUGCCCACGUCGGUGGGAACAACUCGAGCACUCAUGAGUUCGUUGCGCACGUCGUUGCGGUACAACACAGAACUCCACGUUCGCUGCAGUAACCCCGGUGAGUGCGUUGCCCACGUCGGUGGGAACAACUCAAGCACUCGUGAGUUCGUUGCGCACGUCAGUGCGGUACAACACAGAACUCCACGUUCUCUGCAGCAACCCUGGUAGUGCGUUGACCACGUCGGUGGGCACAACUCAGGCACAUGCAAAUUUAAUUACCACGCCGGUGGCAUAAUAUCAAACGCUAAUAUCAAAAGUGUAGGGCACUCGGAGUUCAUUGACCACGUCGGUGUUCAACACGGAAGUACACAAUAUUUGCUGCAGCAACACCGGUGAGUGCGUGACCACGUCGGUGGCACAGCAAGGGCACUCGUGAUUUCGUUGACCACGUCGGUGUUCAACACGGAAGUACACAUUAUUUUCUGCAGCAACACCGGUGAGUGCGUGACCACGUCGGUGGCACAUCAAGGGCACUCGUGAGUUUGUUGACCACAUCGGUGGUUAAACGCGAAAGCACUCGGGUCACGCAGCGACCCCGGGGAGUGAAUCGACCACGGCAGAUGGUACAGCACGAAAGCACUCGUGGCUCGCUGCGUAACAGCUGCAGAGUGCUCUAAAUUUCAACUGAUCUCGCUGAUGGUAUUUUUAAGCUCGACUGCUUUUACGUGAUUCAUCAAUCUCGCUGACGGUUUUUAAGCUUAUCGUUUUACGGGAUUUAUGAUUGCCUCUUAAUAUGUCGUAUAUUGGGUAUGCAUUUUAUCUUCCAGAAGCAGUAUAGAUCCUUGUCCACUUCUUCUACUGCGGGUAUGUAUGGUCUCAUUACCCCCUUUCGCUAUUCUUUUUUUGGGGUCGGCUCCGCCCCUGCUAUUCCUGGCAGGAUACGCCGAGUCCGCACGUCAUCCUGGAUCAGUGACGGGGCUCAUGCCAAAGAUUUACCAUGCAAAAUAUUCUCAUGUCGUUAUUUAAUUAAAUUCUGUACAUACUUAUCGGUGAUCGAGUCUUUAUGGGAGAAAUGUUAAGCUUGCUGGUAGUUCUACCAUGAGGACUCAAAUCAUGCGUGGCUGGCCGCCAAUCACCAAUCACCAGCUACCAAUCACCUGCCUACACCUGCUCUAUAAAGAGUAGUCUAACAUAUGUCUUUGCUGCUCAGGUCUUCGUUCAACGCACCUCCAUCCACCCCACCACCACCAGGUCGGCCUCAGUCUAUUUGUCCAGGGGAAGGCUCCGCCCCUGCUAGUCCUGGCAGGAUACGCCGAGUCCGCACGUCAUCCUGGAUCAUUGCCGGGGCUCAUGCCAAAGAUUUACCAUGCUAAAUAUUCCCAUGUCGUUAUUUAAAUAAAUCCUGUUCAUACUUAUCGGUGAUCGAGUCUUUAUGGGAGAAACUAGUGUUGUGUAAAUUUAACCCUGGGGUGUGUUGACCAGU
ensembl:lncRNA